rnacentral:rRNA from 1 species
CUCCUCUUGAUACGUAAGAGGUACCGUCUGCUCAAUGCGAUUCGUAAAUAGCCGCAGUAUUCUGACUGUGCUAAGGUAGCAUAAUCAUUAGUCUUUUAAUUGAAGGCUGGUAUGAAUGACGAGACGAGAAAGUAGCUGUCUCUAUAAUAAACUUCGAAUUUUAUUUUUAAGUGAAAAAGCUUAAAUGAUUUUGAAGGACGAUCAGACCCUUUGGAGCUUUAUUUAUUUGGAAAUUUAAGUUUAUUUAAGAUGACUGGGUGAAAAAUAAAUUUUGUUGGGGCGACAGAGAGUAAAAAGUACCACUCUUUUUUUGAAACAACUAUUGUUGGAAAAUUGAUCCUUAGAGAAAGAUUAAAAGACUAAGUUACCCUAGGGAUAACAGCGUAAUCUUUUUGGAGAGUUCAAAUCGAUAAAAAGGUUUGCGACCUCGAUGUUGGAUUAAGAGAUCAGCAAGGUGCAGAAGUUUUGCUGKAGAGUCUGUUCGACUCU